CCGGGUGGCGACCGGCGCACGGGUGAGUAACGCGUAUGCAACUUACCUAUCAGAGGGGGAUAACCCGGCGAAAGUCGGACUAAUACCGCAUGAAGCAGGGGCCCCGCAUGGGGAUAUUUGCUAAAGAUUCAUCGCUGAUAGAUAGGCAUGCGUUCCAUUAGGCAGUUGGCGGGGUAACGGCCCGCCAAACCGACGAUGGAUAGGGGUUCUGAGAGGAAGGUCCCCCACAUUGGUACUGAGACACGGACCAAACUCCUACGGGAGGCAGCAG
rnacentral:rRNA from 1 species